GCCGGACAGUGAUAGGACAAUAUCAUAUAUUCCUUACCCUAAAUUUCAACUACAACUGAACCCAUUGGUUGGUAUUGUUAGUAUGCUUUGUAAUCAUAAAUUGCAUAAUAUUACGGUUUGCAAAAUAAAAGAAAACCAUUAGUAUAAAUUAAAGGCACAAUAAUUAUCACACAGCUGUUUUUAUUCAUUCUUAAUUUUCAGGAUAUGCAGAGAUUCAUGUCACAAAGGAAAAUCCUUUGCAAAGUCCAUCCGACAUGGCUCCAUGUUUGAGAACUCUCAUAUUUCACUUCAAAUGUGGAUGCAUUUCAUUUAAAGAUUUGCCCAAGGUCUUCGACUGCGACAAGUGGACAUGCUAGGAGCUCUGCAACUCUGAGUAAACUGGCAGACAAGCUGAGAAGAGUUUGUAAAUCUGCAAUGAAAAGAAAGAGGAAAAGAGGCAAGCAGACUAUUGGAAGAAGAAGAGAAAUUGUUCUGAUAGAUGAAAGCAAAUUUGGCCAUAAAAGAAAGUACAACAGAGGACGAGCAAACAACAGAAGCACCUGGGUAUUCGGAAUGCUAGGCAUCAAGGUUGAGAGGAGGAGACCUAUUUUUAAAAUUGUGCAUUGUCGUUCAGCCAGAAAUCUCAUGCCACUCAUAAAGAAGCACAUUCGCCAGAGAAGCUCAGUCAUUUCAGAUGGA